UGAAACUUUGUUCUCUGUGAAAAACUAGACCAGAUUAAAGACUAGAUAGCAAUAAGUAAACUCUCUGCAUACUUACAGAAAGAUGUCAGUGUCCAUAUGUUUGUUUUUGUGUGUUUCUGUGGUGGCAUCGUGUGGGUACCAGAUAGCUGACAACUAAUCAGGGAUCUAAUUAUUUCAGUAAUCUUGUGGUCACCUCAUGUGGGGCGGUGCAACUUGGAAAACACACUGUCAACCUGUCCACCAAUCACACUGUUGUUUGUGAGAUCUCUUUUAUCCCAUUGGACAGUGGGUUGUACUUUAACUGGGCCAGAUUAGGUCACUUGCUCAUGGUCACUUGCUCAUAGUGUCUAACAAAGACACCUAAAGAAGACGUCAUUGACCGGAACACCCAUUACACAUCCUGCUUUUAGGUUUCUAAGAGGAACUGAGAGGUUAUUGCAGCCUUGCAGGGUUUUUACCAGAGCGUAAAUUCUCAAAAUGGUCACUAGAUGGCCUCAAUUUCUGUAAAACCAUCCACUGCCAAAGAGCCUACAUCCCACGUCAUUCCUCCAGGGUCAUAGUACCCUUCAUGUUUUGUCAGCAACACAUGACAGCUGAGGGUCCCCCAGUCAAAUGGGUGGGGGAGGGGCUGGUUUGCACUGAGAUCUGACAGGAUAUGAUCAGCGGGCAUAAUGUGGUUAUAUCAGAUUUGUGUACAUCUCUGGUCUCAUUUCGGCCUUCCCCAUUAUGUCCAACCAGACAUGAGUUUCCUUGUGUCAUCCGAACCCCUGACCACAGUUGGCAAUGACACUCAUACAGACACAGCAGGAAGGCUUAACACUUGGUCUGUAUGCCCUCUCAUUCACAUGCCCUUCACAUAUCAGUCUCUGAGAGACCUGACAGCUGAAUUCAAAAGUCUGACGGAUAUAAUCUGUCUCUCUGCUCUCAGCUUAUCUCCAAAGGGGUUCUACUGUUUACUGAUUUUAACUACUGAAUUCAAAAAUGUUCUGCUGUUUACUUACUGUAACUACUGAUUUAAAUAAUGUUUUACUGUUUACUUACUGUAACUACUGAAUUCAAUAAUUUUCUACUGUUUACUUACUCUAACUACUGAAUUCAAUAAAGUUCUACUGUUUACUGACUUUAACAACUGAAUUCAGUAAUGUUCUGCUGUUUACUUACUGUAAUGACUGAAUCCAAUGAUGUUCUACUGUUUACUGAUUGUAACUACUGAAUUCAAUAAUGUUCUACUGUUUAUUUACUGUAACUACUGAAUGCAAUAAUGUUCUACUAUUUACUGAUUGUAACUACUGAAUUCAAUCAUGUU
rnacentral:lncRNA from 1 species